GACGAACGCUGGCGGCGUGCUUAACACAUGCAAGUCGAGCGGUAAGGCCCUUUCGGGGGUACACGAGCGGCGAACGGGUGAGUAACACGUGGGUGACCUGCCCUCAGCUCUGGGAUAAGCCUGGGAAACCGGGUCUAAUACUGGAUAUGACUCCAUGACGCAUGUUGUGGGGUGGAAAGCCUUGUGCGGCUGAGGAUGGGCCCGCGGCCUAUCAGCUUGUUGGUGGGGUGANGGCCUACCAAGGCGACGACGGGUAGCCGGCCUGAGAGGGCGACCGGCCGCACUGGGACUGAGACACGGCCCAGACUCCUACGGGAGGCAGCAGUGGGGAAUCUUGCGCAAUGGGCGAAAGCCUGACGCAGCGACGCCGCGUGAGGGAUGAC
rnacentral:rRNA from 1 species